UUUUAGCUAUCAAAUCUGAAUUGUGCACACAAGCUCCAAGCUGGCAACUCACUGACAUUAAAAAAAUAAUUGUCAGGCUGGAUUGCCAUAUUGACUGGGUUCUCCACGCGAAUUUUCCCUUUGGAAAGUACGAGUGCGUCUCGGGAAAUUUCACUUCUGGAUUUACGGCAGUAUACAGUUUUUAAUUUAUAAAAAUUUAAAUUGUUAACCUUAUCUUUUCUAUGUUUCCUCAAUCAAACGCGCAGUAGUAGUAAUAGGGGCCGGUAUACGGACUGACCAAUCAGAAUCGAGUAUUGAUAUCACGUAGUACAAAUGGACCAAUCAGAGAGCUGGAUUUUUCACAUUCCAUUCUGAUGACGUCACAAGAACUGCGAGCUAUUGGUGACGAGUUUAGCGUGUGUGGGGAAAAAAACCGUUUGCAAGCGUCGGCCAUUUACUCGUGCGGCAGGUUUACUCGUAACGACGUCAGUGUAUUUUAUUUUAACCUGUUUAUUAUUUCCUUUUGUUUCGUUUAUAAUUUUGUUGGCACUAUGCUAAUAUUACAAACGAGGAUGUUUUCAGAGGAGGUAGAAUGCUGGGGGAUUGUGAGGGUAAGAUGAGAUUAUAUUUUUUACGCGUGUGUUUGCGAUAAGAUGACGAAAUGAAACGUGUAAUUUUUUUUUUGUUUUUUAGCGAGUGAAAUGGAUGUCAUUGACGAUAGGAUUGUUUAAAAGUGAAGCGAAUAAUACAAGAAGCGCGUGGAGAGAUUUCAUGUGACAAGAAGAAAAAUUAUAAAUGAGAAAAAAAUGAAUGAUGCACAAACACCAUGCGUUAUUGAAGAUCAAGAAUGCACAAUUUGUGUGACUGAUUGCCCUGAGCAGGAAAAAACGCCUUGCUGCAAGAAGACGACCACACUAAUUGUUUAAUGAAGUGGUACCAGUCCCAACAAGAAAAACAUUUAUGGCCCUCAUGUCCACAUUGUAGAGCAGAUCCCCCAUCGACAGUGUUGGAAGCCUUACUCGGAGUCCAUCCAUCACCACCGACACCAUUCCAUUGGGAGACAGCUCAAAAUCAUAUUGAAUAUUGGAACUAUACGUGGGAUGAAAGUAUUCCCAUUGAAAGAGAGGUUUUUUUUUUACAAUAUUUUCAGGAAAGGUUACCGGAUCAUAUUAUGUUGCAUGGAACGGAUAGUGGAUUGUAUCUGGUCACGUUUCAUCGAUAUGAGAAUCGAAGAGUAUCGAGAUUCUUGGCUCAGAACAAACGUGAAGCCAUCGAAGCCAUUCGAAGGUUUCGAUUUGUGUUGGAAAAUUUA